rnacentral:lncRNA from 1 species
UGUGAAACUCAGUCAUGGCACAAAUGAGGGAAUACGAAAUAUUGUUCAGAAAUGGCGAACCAGGUACAUCGAUGAACCCUGCUUAAUAGCCUUAGGAAUUCUAAGCGCAAGAAAAAUCGAAUCAACAAGGUACAUCGAUGAACCCUGCUUAAUAGCCUUAGGAAUUCUAGAUAGUGUUAAUUAUAUGAUAAAUACUUUAAGUUUAAAUUAUUUCCUAUCUUUUAAAGACCCAAUAUAUGCU